GAUGAACGCUAGCGGCAGGCUUAAUACAUGCAAGUCGAGGGGUAGCAAGAUUGUAGCAAUACAAUUGUUGACGACCGGCAAACGGGUGCGGAACACGUACACAACCUUCCUACAAGUGGGGAAUAGCCCAGAGAAAUUUGGAUUAAUACCCCGUAACAUAGCGAUGUGGCAUCACAUUGCUAUUAUAGCUUCGGCGCUUGUUGAUGGGUGUGCGGCUGAUUAGAUAGUUGGUGGGGUAACGGCCCACCAAGUCUACGAUCAGUAGCUGAUGUGAGAGCAUGAUCAGCCACACGGGCACUGAGACACGGGCACGACUCCGACGGGAGGGAGCAGUAAGGAAUAUUGGACAAUGGAGGCCAGUCUGAUCCAGCCAUGCCGCGUGAAGGAUUAAGGUCCUCUGGAUUGUAAUCUUCUUUUAUAAGGGACGAAAAAAGGUCUUUCUAGAUCGUCUGACGGUACCUUAUGAAUAAGCACCGGCUAACUCCGUGCCAGCCGCCGCCGUAA
rnacentral:rRNA from 1 species